CUACGGGGCGCUCCAGUGGGGAAUAUUGCACAAUGGGCGCAAGCCUGAUGCAACCAUGCCGCGUGUAUGAAGAAGGCCUUCGGGUUGUAAAGUACUUUCAGCGGGGAGGAAGGGAGUAAAGUUAAUACCUUUGCUCAUUGACGUUACCCGCAGAAGAAGCACCGGCUAACUCCGUGCCAGCAGCCGCGGUAAUACGGAGGGUGCAAGCGUUAAUCGGAAUUACUGGGCGUAAAGCGCACGCAGGCGGUUUGUUAAGUCAGAUGUGAAAUCCCCGGGCUCAACCUGGGAACUGCAUCUGAUACUGGCAAGCUUGAGUCUCGUAGAGGGGGGUAGAAUUCCAGGUGUAGCGGUGAAAUGCGUAGAGAUCUGGAGGAAUACCGGUGGCGAAGGCGGCCCCCUGGACGAAGACUGACGCUCAGGUGCGAAAGCGUGGGGAGUAAACAGGAUUAGAUACCCCCGUAGUC
rnacentral:rRNA from 1 species